rnacentral:rRNA from 1 species
GUACAAUAAGCAAAAUAAGGGCGUAUGGGGGAUGCCUAGGCUCUCAGAGGCGAAGAAAGGCGUGAUAAGCUGCGAAAAGCGCCGGGGAUCGGCACACACGAAUUGAUCCGGCGAUACCUGAAUGGGGCAACCCAAUGCAUUGAAGAUGCAUUACUCCGAUAGGAGGGCAAACCCGCUGAACUGAAACAUCUAAGUAGGCGGAGGAGAAGAAAACAAAAGUGAUUCCGUAAGUAGUGGCGAGCGAACGCGGAUUAGCCCAAACCAAUAUUGUUACGGCAAUGUUGGGGUUGUAGGACCACGAGAUUUCUUGCAAACUGAACUGGAAGUAUCUGGAAAGAUACACGAUACAAGGUGAUAGUCCUGUACAGGUAAGGGAUGUAAAGGAUAGUGGUAUCCUGAGUAGGGCGGGGCACGUGAAACCCUGUCUGAAUCUGGCGGGACCAUCCGCUAAGGCUAAAUACUCCUGAGAGACCGAUAGUGAACCAGUACCGUGAGGGAA